rnacentral:rRNA from 1 species
AGUGAACGCUGGCGGUAGGCCUAACACAUGCAAGUCGAACGGCAGCACAGUAAGAGCUUGCUCUUACGGGUGGCGAGUGGCGGACGGGUGAGGAAUACAUCGGAAUCUACUUUUUCGUGGGGGAUAACGUAGGGAAACUUACGCUAAUACCGCAUACGACCUACGGGUGAAAGCAGGGGAUCUUCGGACCUUGCGCGAUUGAAUGAGCCGAUGUCGGAUUAGCUAGUUGGCGGGGUAAAGGCCCACCAAGGCGACGAUCCGUAGCUGGUCUGAGAGGAUGAUCCGCCACACUGGAACUGAGAGACGGUCCAGACUCCUACGGGAGGCAGCAGUGGGGAAGAUUGGAAAAUGGGCGCAAGCCUGAUCCAGCCAUACCGGGUGGGUGAAGAAGGCCUUCGGGUUGUAAAGCCCUUUUGUUGGGAAAGAAAAGCAGCAGGUUAAUACCCCGCUGUGCUGACGGUACCCAAAGAAUAAGCACCGGCUAACUUCGU